rnacentral:rRNA from 1 species
AAAUCAUCAUGCCCCUUAUGACCUGGGCUACACACGUGCUACAAUGGACGGUACAAAGAGCUGCAAGACCGCGAGGUGGAGCUAAUCUCAUAAAACCGUUCUCAGUUUGGAUUGUAGGCUGCAACUCGCCUACAUGAAGCUGGAAUCGCUUGUAAUCGCGGAUCAGCAUGCCGCGGUGAAUACGUUCCCGGGCCUUGUACACACCGCCCGUCACACCACGAGAGUUUGUAACACCCGAAGUCGGUGGGGUAACCUUUUUGGAGCCAGCCGCCUAUAGGGAGAUUGU